rnacentral:misc_RNA from 1 species
AGAAGUAAAAGUCGUAACAAGGUUUCCGUAGGUGAACCUGCGGAAGGAUCAUUCAUAAUAAAGUGUUUUAUGGCACUCUUUAAAAAUCCAUAUCCACCUUGUGUGCAAUGUUAGAUCUCGUCAAUCUUGGCGAGAUUUUUAUACAUCAACUCAUUUUUUAACUAAUUUGUCUGAAAAAUAUUAUGAAUACUUAAUUCAAAAUACAACUUUCAACAACGGAUCUCUUGGCUCUC